UACGUAGGUGGCAAGCGUUAUCCGGAUUUACUGGGUGUAAAGGGCGUGUAGGCGGGAAAGCAAGUCAGAUGUGAAAACCAUGGGCUCAACCUGUGGCCUGCAUUUGAAACUGUUUUUCUUGAGUACUGGAGAGGCAGACGGAAUUCCUAGUGUAGCGGUGAAAUGCGUAGAUAUUAGGAGGAACACCAGUGGCGAAGGCGGCCUACUGGACGGUGACUGACGCUGAGGCUCGAAAGCGUGGGGAGCAAACAGG
rnacentral:rRNA from 1 species